rnacentral:rRNA from 1 species
CCUACGGGAGGCAGCAGUGGGGAAUAUUGCGCACUGGGCGAAAGCCUGACGCAGCGACGCCGCGUGAGGGAUGAAGGUCUUCGGAUCGUAAACCUCUGUCAGCAGGGAAGAACGGUCACUGUGCUAAUCAGCAGUGAAUUGACGGUACCUGCAAAGGAAGCACCGGCUAACUCCGUGCCAGCAGCCGCGGUAAUAAGGAGGGUGCGAGCGUUAAGCGGAAUUACUGGGCGUAAAGCGCUCGUAGGCGGUAUGUCAAGUCAAGGGUGAAAGCCCCGCGCUCAACGUGGGAACUGCCUUGGAAACUGGCAAACUGGAGUGUGUGAGAGGAUAGUGGAAUUCCAGGUGUAGGAGUGAAAUCCGUAGAUAUCUGGAGGAACAUCAGUGGCGAAGGCGACUAUCUGGCACAUAACUGACGCUGAGGAGCGAAAGCGUGGGUAGCAAACAGGAUUAGAUACCCGAGUAGUC